GAGAUAUGGUUCCUUAUAUUGGAAACCGCAAGAGACGAAUGUAAAGAACUCUUAUUGUCUGUCAUGACGGUGAGAAGAAGAAGAAAUAAGAGAUGGAGGGAAGGUAAGGUAAGGGAAGUGAUUUGAGAGAGAUAAAGUAAGAGAAUAUAUUUGAGAGAGACAGCGAGCUAAAAGGCUCACAGGGGUUUGAAAAGUUCAGCCCAUGUCACGUAUUGAACAUUUUCCAUCUCAAGAAUGAUUGAGACAUGAUUCUUGAUGUUGGAGACAUCAAGAACAGUGUGAAAGAUAGAGUUUGAGUGAGACAUGGUGAUGGAGAAGAAAAAGAAAGGGGCUGAAGGUGCUAGGGCCUGUGUGCAAAAGUCAAAGGAAGGCGUUAGGGCUCUCACAUUAUCCAUUCUAAGAUGGUAUCAGAACAAGUUCUGAUCACGCUUUCGCUAGCCCUCGCUUGUGAUGACAAGCACCCACCAUUUGUUGUUCAAGCAUCAAGUCCAAGAAGUGCUUGGCGUGAGGGGGUGUGUUGGAAAUAAUUCAAGUUCCACAUCGGCUAACAAUAUAACCUUAUAAGUGAGAGAUAACUCUCACCCCUUGAACUAGUUUUUGAAGUUGAGUUAGACUUAAACUCACCUUCUAAGAUGGUAUCAAGCCCAAUAAGUGUUGGGCGUGAAAGAGGUGUAUUGAGAAAUAUCUAAGUCUCACAUAGGCUGCCUCAACCCUUGGAGUGCAGCUUAUAUAUC
rnacentral:lncRNA from 1 species